UACGGGGGGGGCAAGCGUUGUUCGGAAUUACUGGGCGUAAAGGGCUUGUAGGUGGCCAACUAAGUCAGACGUGAAAUCCCUCGGCUUAACCGGGGAACUGCGUCUGAUACUGGAUGGCUUGAGUGUGGGAGAGGGAUGCGGAAUUCCAGGCGUAGCGGUGAAAUGCGUAGAUAUCUGGAGGAACACCGGUGGCGAAGGCGGCAUCCUGGACCGAUACUGACGCUGAGGAGCGAAAGCCAGGGGAGCAAACGGG
rnacentral:rRNA from 1 species